rnacentral:tRNA from 1 species
GCCCUCGUCGUCCAGCGGCCGAGGACACCGGCCGCCGGCUCGCCCGGAGUCGGAACCCGGGUUCGAAUCCCGGCGACGGCU